rnacentral:rRNA from 1 species
UACGUAGGAUCCAAGCGUUGUCCGGAUUUACUGGGUGUAAAGGGCGCGCAGGCGGACUUGUAAGUCAGGGGUGAAAUCUCACAGCUCAACUGUGAAACUGCCUUUGAUACUGCAAGUCUUGGAUCCAGAAGAGAGUUGUGGAAUUCCGAGUGUAGCAGUGAAAUGUGUAGAUAUUCGGAAGAACACCAGUGGCGAAGGCAGCAACUUGGUCUGGUAUCGACGCUCAGGCACGAAAGCAUGGGGAUCAAACAGG